rnacentral:piRNA from 1 species
UGCAUAAGUUGAAAGGGAUGUUUAUGUGG